rnacentral:rRNA from 1 species
GAUGAACGCUGGCGGCGUGCUUAACACACGCAAGUCGAACGGUACUCAGCGAAUAGUAAUAUUUGCUGAGUAUAGUGGCGGACGGGUGAGUAACGCGUGAGCAAUCUACCUUAGAGUGGGGACAACAUUCGGAAACGGAUGCUAAUACCGCAUAAGACCACAGCGGCACAUGCCGCGGGGGUCAAAGGAGAAAUCCGCUUUAAGGUGAGCUCGCGUCCCAUUAGCUAGGUGGUGAGGUAACGGCCCACAAAGGCGACGAUGGGUAGCCGACCUGAGAAGGAGAUGGGCCAGACUGGAACUGAGACACGGUCCUGACGCCUACGGGAGGCAGCAGUGGGGAAUAUUGGGCAAUGGGCGAAAGCCUGACCCAGCAACGCCGCGUGAUUGAAGAAGGCUUUCGGGUUGUAAAAAUCUGUCCUUUGGGACGAAAAAAAUGACGGUACCCAAGGAGGAAGCCCCGGCUAACUACGUGCCAGCCGCCGCCGUAAAAC